rnacentral:rRNA from 1 species
GCUCAGGAAAAACGCAAGAGACGUGCCUAACACAUGCAAAUUUAAUGGUUAAUAAAUUAACUAUAGUGAAUUGGUGAGUAAAAUAUGAAAAUUUAAUUUUAGAUUGGAAGUAUUUCUAAUAACUUAGAAGUAAUCUCUGAUAAGUGCAUAUAUGUUGCUUUUAAAAAGUUAAUACUGUCUAAAAAAAAGUUCAUAUCUGAUUAGCUAGUUAGUAAUAUAAAAAUUUACUAAGGCGAAGAUCAGUAGCUGCCCUGAGAGGGGGACCAGCCACAUUGGGAUUGAAAUACAGCCCAAACUCCUACGGGAGGCUGCAGUGGGGAAUCUUCUGCAAUGAGCGCAAGCUUGACAGAGCGUCGUCACGUGAAGGAAGACAGCUUAUUUUUUAGUUGUAAACUUCUUUUACUUAAAAGUGAAUAUUGACACUUAAGUAAAUAAAGUAUCGGCAAACUCCGUGCCAGCAGCCGCGGUAAAACGGGGGAUACAAGCGUUAUCCGGAAUUACUGGGCGUAAAGCGUAUGUA